AUGGCAAGUUCUUGUAGUAAAGCUAUAUCCUUCUUUGGAAUUGUGCAACGAAUUUAUGUUUUAUUUUCAAGUUCCACAAAAAGAUGGAAAGUUUUACUUGACCAUAUUCCUAGUUUAACGGUGAAAGGUUUGUCUAAUACUCGGUGGGAGAGUCGAAUCAAAAGUGUAAAAGCUAUUAGAUAUCAAGCUCCACAAUUAAGGCUAGCUUUG
rnacentral:rRNA from 1 species